UUGAACGCUGGCGGCAGGCCUAACACAUGCAAGUCGAGCGGUAACACAGAGAGCUUGCUCUCGGGUGACGAGCGGCGGACGGGUGAGUAAUGUCUGGGAAACUGCCUGAUGGAGGGGGAUAACUACUGGAAACGGUAGCUAAUACCGCAUAACGUCGCAAGACCAAAGUGGGGGACCUUCGGGCCUCAUGCCAUCAGAUGUGCCCAGAUGGGAUUAGCUAGUAGGUGGGGUAACGGCUCACCUAGGCGACGAUCCCUAGCUGGUCUGAGAGGAUGACCAGCCACACUGGAACUGAGACACGGUCCAGACUCCUACGGGAGGCAGCAGUGGGGAAUAUUGCACAAUGGGCGCAAGCCUGAUGCAGCCAUGCCGCGUGUGUGAAGAAGGCCUUCGGGUUGUAAAGCACUUUCAGCGGGGAGGAAGGCGGUGAGGUUAAUAACCUCAUCGAUUGACGUUACCCGCAGAAGAAGCACCGGCUAACUCCGUGCCAGCAGCCGCGGUAAUACGGAGGGUGCAAGCGUUAAUCGGAAUUACUGGGCGUAAAGCGCACGCAGGCGGUCUGUCAAGUCGGAUGUGAAAUCCCCGGGCUCAACCUGGGAACUGCAUUCGAAACUGGCAGGCUAGAGUCUUGUAGAGGGGGGUAGAAUUCCAGGUGUAGCGGUGAAAUGCGUAGAGAUCUGGAGGAAUACCGGUGGCGAAGGCGGCCCCCUGGACAAAGACUGACGCUCAGGUGCGAAAGCGUGGGGAGCAAACAGGAUUAGAUACCCUGGUAGUCCACGCCGUAAACGAUGUCGAUUUGGAGGUUGUGCCCUUGAGGCGUGGCUUCCGGAGCUAACGCGUUAAAUCGACCGCCUGGGGAGUAAGGCCGCAAGGUGAAAACUCAAAAGACUUGACAGGGACCCGCAAAAGCGGUGGAGCAUGUGGUUUAAUUCGAUGCAACGCGAAGAACCUUACCUGGUCUUGACAUCCACAGAACUUUCCAGAGAUGGAUUGGUGCCUUCGGGAACUGUGAGACAGGUGCUGCAUGGCUGUCGUCAGCUCGUGUUGUGAAAUGUUGGGUUAAGUCCCGCAACGAGCGCAACCCUUAUCCUUUGUUGCCAGCGGUUCGGCCGGGAACUCAAAGGAGACUGCCAGUGAUAAACUGGAGGAAGGUGGGGAUGACGUCAAGUCAUCAUGGCCCUUACGACCAGGGCUACACACGUGCUACAAUGGCAUAUACAAAGAGAAGCGACCUCGCGAGAGCAAGCGGACCUCAUAAAGUAUGUCGUAGUCCGGAUUGGAGUCUGCAACUCGACUCCAUGAAGUCGGAAUCGCUAGUAAUCGUAGAUCAGAAUGCUACGGUGAAUACGUUCCCGGGCCUUGUACACACCGCCCGUCACACCAUGGGAGUGGGUUGCAAAAGAAGUAGGUAGCUUAACCUUCGGGAGGGCGCUUACCACUUUGUGAUUCAUGACUGGGGUG
rnacentral:rRNA from 1 species